ACAUGAUUCUCAAUCAUGUGGUUCAGUCUCUCAUUUGAGUUCGGAUCUUGAUGAGACCUUGAUUCCCUAGCUUGAGCUAUCGCCCCAUUAGUGUCAUACACUUUCUGGUUGGAACCGAAUAGAGAGUUCAUAAAUGAACUUUCCCAUCCAAACAACAUUGUUGUAAACUUCUUUAUGGCAAUAUAUUUUGCAUUCAUAAUGGAACACACUAAAGUCAUUACUUUAAUGUUUCCAUCCAAA
rnacentral:lncRNA from 1 species